AAGAUUUUAAGUUAAAUUAAACUUUGUGCCUUCAAAGUACAUAAUAAAUAAAAUUAUUUAAAUCUUA
rnacentral:tRNA from 1 species